GUACCGUCACAGCUAUGACUCUGAGUUCACUGCUCCUCUGGUGAUGUACCACGUGUGGCCAGCCUUGAUGGAAGGAAACUCCGUCAUAGUGAAGGGCGAGGCAGUGACCAGAAGAGGUGCUCCGUGGAGUAGAAGCCGCAACCAGAGCAGGAGUGCCAGCCCUGUGCGCUCUCGCUCUCUCAGCCCAACUCGCAGUCUUGCAUUUAACAGCAAAAGAAGCCUGUCCCCUGAACGUCUCACAGCUAGCUGCCUGUGAACUCUCCUUCAACAGGACAGGAAUCCACACCGUCAUGUCUGACAUACUCUAAAUUCUGUUUCAUCUGUGCAGUUAUGCAAACGUCUGCUUCCACCAAAUAAAGCAAUAAAAAUCUCAGAUACCAAAGGCUGUUUAGAGUUUACAUCGUCAGAGGGUAGUUUUAUGGGAAACUGACACUAACAUGAUGUCAGAAGAUGAAGUAAAAGAUGAUGGCAGCUAAAUGAACUGUUGUCUUGAGUGUAUUAUAUUCAAUGAGUUACUUUAGGUUAUUAAUAGAAACUAACAGUGUUUUUUAGCAGUAGUGAGACAUUUAAAGUAUGUUUUUCUGAGGAAGACUUGACCUGCACAGUAACACUUUCAUAGUCCGACAGUGGACUAUAGAAUCACAAUGCAUAGAGCAUGCAACAUGUAAGACUCUUUUCUUUCACUAUAAGUCUACACAGCAGAAUACUUUAGGUAUGCAGCAGGGCGUACAGUAUGGUGCUAAUGGUCAGUGCUAACUUCAACUCCUCCAGUACUUUAUUGACUGAUCUUAGUCAUUGCUCCUUUAAGUCGUGCUGUGUCUUUCCCCCCCUUUCUUAUAUUUUGGUGCUGUUAUUUUAUAUUGAGUUCUGACAUGUGAUGUAAUGCCGCCAUAGCAGCAUGUUUAUAAUAUGAAUACAUAGAGGUAGUUAUAACUUUAAACUCCACAAAAAUGUUUUUCUUAUAUGAUUAGUUAUUUGCAGCAAUGUCUAAAUGCAUCCAAUAUGACAUUCUAUUUAUUUACAUUCCAUAUAUUAUCACCAGGUACAUUGACAUAUCUGAUACUUCUGUACAUGAUUUGCCUGUUAAUGUCUUGACUUUACAUAUCAUAGUAGAUUAUUCAUUUUGAUUUAACUUGUGGUGUGUGAUGAGUAUAUUCUUUUA